UAUAUUUUUGUUGAGUGUAUGUGUAAAUGCGGUGUUGGUCAGAACUUCAGAAUCUCGGAAAGCGGCGUCUCUGGAUGAAAAAGAAUUUGGUUUGUUCUAAACUAUGAUGUUAUCUUCAGAAGCACAUUCAGACGCAAUCUCUGUGUUCUACCUCACCCUUUUGAUGACCUUCGUCACGGAUUCGGAGGUCAGAGAGGCAGGAUGACCUCUGGGCACCCAGGUCCGGUAGAUUGACUGCGAGCACCGACUUCUCCGGUCCAAAAGAUAUCACCACGCAGCACAGUCAAUCAGAGGCUGACAGGAAAGAAGAUGUUACCAAGACAACUCAGAAACACGCCUUCUUUAAUAUGGAAGUCCUGACUGGUAAAGAAAACAAGUUAUGUGUUGUAGUCUAACUUAACCGUACUUGUUAUUGUGGAUGUGCAGGUGUGAGGACCUUGUCGUCAAAACAUCUGAGGAGACAGAAAAAUGGGAACGAUGAUGCAUUCUGGAUAAUUGGAGUGUCGAGAAAACCGGAUGACUUUUGAACGUUUUGAAGUCUCCUCGACGAGGGAGUGGAGAGCCGGACCAGAACACAUCAUCUCCUUUUCCAAGGGUGAUGAACGAGAUGUACUGAACCUCACUGAGGAAACAGCACCGGCAGGAUUCAGCAGUGUGGUAGGACUGACUUUGGGUUGCAAUGAUUAUAAAUUUAUAAAAAAAAUUUGCCCCCUCAGAGUUUUCAUGAAUGUUAACUAGAUCUAUUAAAGCUUAAAGGGCUUUCUGAUCAGUUUAUCUCUGCUGUCAAAUUGGCAUUUUUGACAUGUGAUUCGAUGAGGAUUAGCUCUCUUCUGGUGGAUGAGGGUGGAAAUGCAUUUUUUUUGCCUCUUCCUUGUUGGCUUCACUUUCAUACCAGAAUUAUGGGGGCUGUCGUGGUGGAAAUUAUUCCAUCUAACCACUCCCUGGUUCUUUGGAGGUGACCCUGAAGAGAGAUCCACACUUUAAGCUAGGGCUGGGCGAUAUGGCCUAAAACUAAUAUCACAAUAUAUUGAGGAUUUAACCUCAAUAAUGAUAAAUGGACCAUAACUGCAGGUAAGUUGUCCACUAGAUGGGGCUGUCACAUGUAUUAUAUUUAGUCACAUUUUUACGCAUCUCAAGGUGGUACAGCUUCUUAAAGGGACAUAAAUGUUGCCCAGCUACACACAUCUUUUCAUUUUUUUAUUAUCAAAUUUAUUGACAUGGGAAAAAUGAUCUCGAUAAGAGUCAGAAAUUUCGAUAACGAUACAUUUUCGAUUUAUUGCCCAGCCCUACUUUAAGCCCAUUAUAAUAUGUACACACACAAAGAUCUUUGGUUGGCUUCUGGUGAGAAGAACACAAGCAGUUCCCUGCCGAUGUAUCUUCUAACUUUCGACUCUUCUCGUCAGCCCUUUUAUUGAAUUGCAUGAAAAUUUUUUUUAAUUUUACAACAGUUCCACAAUAGACUGGGGCGUUCCCACUUCACAGUCAUACACUACUCCUCCU